AAGAAAUUAGAGAUAUAUUUAAAAAGAAGAAAAAUUGAAAAUUCCAAUUUCUCUCUAAUUUCUCUUCUCUUUCUCAUCUUUAUUGAUGGAUGAUUAGAAACUUAGGAGCACAAAGACUGCUGUGCUCCUAAUAGCACAGUAGCCCUACUAUUUAUUUAUUAUAUAUAUUUAUUUAAUAUAUAUAGUAUUUUAUUUCUAUAUAGAUAUAUUAUUAUAUAAUAAUUUAUUAUAUAAUUUACUAUUUAUUUUUAUGAAAUGUAAAAUAUAUAAAAAAAAUAUUAAA
rnacentral:lncRNA from 1 species